rnacentral:rRNA from 1 species
UACGUAGGGUGCGAGCGUUAAUCGGAAUUACUGGGCGUAAAGCGUGCGCAGGCGGUGAUGUAAGACAGAUGUGAAAUCCCCGGGCUCAACCUGGGACCUGCAUUUGUGACUGCAUCGCUGGAGUGCGGCAGAGGGGAUGGAAUUCCGCGUGUAGCAGUGAAAUGCGUAGAUAUGCGGAGGAACACCGAUGGCGAAGGCAAUCCCUGGGCCUGCACUGACGCUCAUGCACGAAAGCGUGGGAGCAAACAGG